rnacentral:misc_RNA from 1 species
UUGAAUUUUAAUGAAGAGUUUGGUUGUAGCUGGCCCAUUCAUUUGGGCAUGUGCACACCUUCCUCUUUCAUCCCACACACACCUGUGAACCUGUGAGACAGAGAUGGGGAAUUUACUUGCUGCUUUUUGGAAUACAAAGGCAAUAGGUUAUUGGACCCCCCCUCUGUCUACUCAAUUAAUAUAAACUCAAUUUAUUUUAAAACGAACGUAAUGGAUGUAACACAUCUCAUAC